AUUCGGGUCCGGUAGCCCCUAUAUAUAAAGUGUCGGGCAACCGACUAUGGCGAUAAACACCGUUCGGAAUAAGCGUGACGGACCCGGGGGCAGUACCCGGCGCCUCCACCAUAAACACACCGGACCCAGGUAUUAACAGCGCAUGGGCAACCAGAAUUCAGGUGUGUUUUUGAUGGGGGCGAACCAGGAUCGACGUGCGUAAUAAAGGUACGGUUUUCGCCCGGUAUGAUACCGCCGUUAUCGGGUCAAACUCAUAAAUGCCAACGAUAACGAGGCAUUUGCCGCUGCUGCGUAAACAACGUUAGCAACGACGGGGUUCCGGGGGGCACCUGGCAACAGAAGCCCCCCAC
rnacentral:tmRNA from 1 species